CAAUGGUGUUUGUGGGUUCUGGACAUCUUGUUCACACAGCAGAACAACGUCUAAACACCAUCUGUACCAACCCAGAGAGCUGAAGUGGGCUAAAUGUGAGCAAGUCCUCAAUGAUGUUCUGUGUCCUCUGUUCCAGACCUGCCUCCUUCCUACUGGGUGUCUUAAGGUCCUGCCUCCCAACGACCCAGACCCACCACAGCUGACAGGAGUUUAGCUGCAGAUGGAUUUCUUUUACAUUGUCACAUGUUAUGACUUAGUUUUCGAUUAAUAUUUAGUGACUGUGCUGUGAUGAAGUUGUCAGUUGUUGAAUUAAAUGACCGUUCAGCUCAUAGAUGUUGUUUCCAAAUGUUAAACAUGUCAAAUUUAAACUCCAUUUCUGUCCAACUGUCACCAUUUGGCCUUAAAUUGCCUUUGUCAUUCAACGGUCUGGACUUCUAGCUCUGGCUUGUCUCCUCUGCCCAGUCCAUUUUCUACUUAAGACUUGUCUGCCCGUCUGUGGUAUUUAGACGACGUGUUGGGAGGCCUCCCAGCAGGGGACUAGUGUCCUCUGCAAAGUGACUCGUUUUAUUAGAUACAUACAGGGCUAAGUAGUCAACUUUAUAAACAGCUGCUGUAAUCUGGGGGGAGUACAGAUUAGAUUGCGCGUUUAGGUUCUUUAGUAGAAAAUGAACUUGGCAGAGAGACAACCCAAAAGUAAAGGUAAAGAUUAACUUCAUAUUUACAGCUUCCUUAAACAAAUGUGUUGACAAGUUCUGUGGGCUGAAUAGUAGAAGAUGAAGGGACUGAUGUGGAGCCCUGGUAUUGAUGUUUGUUCUGAGACCUGGUGAAACUGAAACUGAAAAUGACUAUUUUUCUCUGUGGCCAAAGAUAAAUUAAGAUGAUGAGGGACCUGUAUGAUUUGUCAACAGUUCUCCAAUCCUUGUUUGACGGUACAUGGAUUUAUUUAUUUUUCUUGUAAGGUGACUUGUUAACACAUCUUGGAUAUUCAAAGAUUUAGUCUUUGGUCACUGAUGAAUUAAACUGGACACUUGAGCCCAGAUUUAUUUCCCUUUAGUUUAGUCAGUUUAGUUACAGUUUAAUGAGCGUAGUUUGCGUCACACUGUUAACUACAAUACUGUCUGUCAUGAAUUCUUACUGGCUGUUGCACUAUGGACACCGUUUCCAAAAUCAGACCUGGAUCCAUCUGAUUUUGGGAUCUGGUCCAUCCAUGGUACACCAUCAGCUUCAGUCAUUGUAAAGUCCUUUAGAACACUAUAAAGAUUUGGUUCUGAUCCAAUGCUUUGUAGUUAUUUCAUCAGUGACAACAUCAAAGACUGUUCACAAGAAACAUGUCCUUUUUUUCCCAAGAACCUCCAUUCCUUUUUAGUUGCACUUGAAUUUGAAAUUUUCAAAAUAAACUACAUUAAAUGUUA